UAAAAGUUGAUUACAUAGGAAAUCCACAGCAGGUAAGAUUGAUUGUUACAUUGUUCUCUUAAUGGCAGGUUAAACAAAUGCACUGAGUACCCAGCAGGAUAGUAGUUCUCAGUCCUUAGCAACCUCAAGAUGUAUUAUUAACUCGGGUUGAGAGUCCAACAAAAGUUCCAGUCUCUUAGGAUUCAAGAGGGAUUUUUAUCACAAUGAAUUGCCACCAGAAGACAGUGUUGGAUCCUCUGAGAAUGGAGUCCCAUGUGGCUGUGAGGUGCCGUGUGGGUGCCGGGAAUGGAGUCCAGGUCAUCUUCAAGGGCAGCAAGUGAUCAGAAUGCAGAGUUCUCAGCUUUUUCUCCAGCAUCACAUCUGCCUGCUUGCCACUAUGCUGUCUGCUAAGACAAUAAUGGACUAAAUCUCUCAAGCUAACCCCAAAGCCCUCAUCUAGUGGCUGAUGGAAGCAGAGGCAGACUCCUCAGAUAUACAUUGAACUGAACUCUGGAACCCAGUUGCAGAGAGGGAGGAAUGAAGAUCAAAGGGGCCGGGACCAGGCUGGUGAAUCCCAUAGAAACAGCUGGCCUGAACAAGGGGGAGCACAUGGACCCCAGACUGCUGUCUGGGAGGCCAGCACGGGACUGAUCCAGACCCCUGAAAGUGGAUGUCAAGGAGGAGGCCUUGGCACUUUAUGGGGCCUCUGGUGGUGGAUCAGUAUUUUUCCCUGGUGUAAGAAGGGACUUUGAGAGCCCAUCCCACGUGAAGAGAUGCUCUCUAGGCCUGGACACUUGGGGGAGGGCCUAGGCCCAGCCCUG
rnacentral:lncRNA from 1 species